ensembl:lncRNA
GGAAAUAGGGGUUGCUUGGCUGGGGCCUCUGCCCACUAGCCCGGGGACUUUCAGAGCAGGGCCAGGGGGAACAUCGGGGUCUAUUCUGGGCUGUGUGAGCACCUCAAGCCAUUCACCCUCCCCAAACCUGCAAGGCCGAGGAGUCUUCUUUCACGGUCGAUUAAAAAGAAAGUUGGAGCUUUGGAGGGGCCCUUGGCAUCUCCCUGGGAAUCGGAGUCACCGCAGGCUCUUACCAGCCAGUGAUGAAAACUUCCCUCCAUUCCUGCCCUCCUCAGCUGCUGCUUUGGAAGCUCAGUCCACAGAACCUAUCCCUCCGCUCUCCUGACCCUGGCCUGAAACUCCUCUACUUCAAAGUUAGAGGUAUUUGGGCCACCCUCCUGGAGGAAUUGAGAAGAGCUUCA